rnacentral:rRNA from 1 species
GACGAACGCUGGCGGCGUGCUUAACACAUGCAAGUCGAACGGAAAGGCCCUUCGGGGUACUCGAGUGGCGAACGGGUGAGUAACACGUGGGUGAUCUGCCCUGCACUUUGGGAUAAGCCUGGGAAACUGGGUCUAAUACCGAAUAGGACCACGCGCUUCAUGGUGUGUGGUGGAAGGUUUUGCGGUGUGGGAUGGGCCCGCGGCCUAACAGCUUGUUGGGGGGGUAAUGGCCUACCAAGGCGACGACGGGUAGCCGGCCUGAGAGGGUGACCGGCCACACUGGGACUGAGAUACGGCCCAGACUCCUACGGGAGGCAGCAGUGGGGAAUAUUGCACAAUGGGCGCAAGCCUGAUGCAGCGACGCCGCGUGAGGGAUGACGGCCUUCGGGUUGUAAACCUCUUUCAAUAGGGACGAAGCGCAAGUGACGGUACCUAUAGAAGAAGCACCGGCCAACUACGUG